UACGGGGGGGGCAAGCGUUGUUCGGAAUUACUGGGCGUAAAGGGCUCGUAGGUGGCCAACUAAGUCGGACGUGAAAUCCCUCGGCUUAACCGGGGAACUGCGUCCGAUACUGGUUGGCUUGAGUUUGGGAGAGGGAUGCGGAAUUCCAGGUGUAGCGGUGAAAUGCGUAGAUAUCUGGAGGAACACCGGUGGCGAAGGCGGGUCUCUGGGCAGUAACUGACGCUGAGGAGCGAAAGCGUGGGGAGCGAACAGG
rnacentral:rRNA from 1 species